AACGAACGCUGGCGGCAUGCCUAACACAUGCAAGUCGAACGAGACCUUCGGGUCUAGUGGCGCACGGGUGCGUAACGCGUGGGAACCUGCCCUUAGGUUCGGAAUAACUCCCCGAAAGGGGUGCUAAUACCGGAUAAUGUCUUCGGACCAAAGAUUGAUCGCCUUUGGAUGGGCCCGCGUUGGAUUAGCUUGUUGGUAGUGUAAAAGCCUACCAAGGCGACGAUCCAUAGCUGGUCUGAGAGGAUGAUCAGCCACACUGGGACUGAGACACGGCCCAGACUCCUACGGGAGGGAGCAGUGGGGAAUAUUGGACAAUGGGCGAGAGCCUGAUCCAGCAAUGCCGCGUGAGUGAUGAAGGCCUUAGAGUUGUAAAGCUCUUUUACCCGGGAUGAUAAUGACAGUACCGGGAGAAUAAGCUCCGGCUAACUCCGUG
rnacentral:rRNA from 1 species